ACAUGGAGGUCAGAAGACAGCUUGCAGGAGCUGGUCCUCUCCUUCCAUGGGGGACCCAGGGACUGAAUGCAAGCCACCAGGCUUGGCAGUGGACCCAGCUUACCAUGACAGCCAUCUAGCCUGUAAAGUUAAUUUUAAUUUUAAGAAAGCAGAUGUUUCAUUAGAUACCUUAGGGACUCUGAAUUCCUUGAGGUGCUGGUCCAUAUGAGUUAGAUCAGAGGACCAACCUCUCCCUCGGGCACUGAGGCAGGAGUUCAAGCACUACUGUGCGAUGUUCAAUGCCAUCAAAUGCUAUUAAAAUUGUUUAGUGCUGUGUUGAGUUUCUGUUAAGUCUUGAUUAAGUUUGUUCUAAAUAUUCUUUUAAUGCUCUCAGAAACAGUCUGUCUUACAGGCUCUUCCUCUGUGCCUGGCAGCCUUGAGCAGGGCACUGCCAGCCAAGCACCCUUCCUGGCCAGAUGGCCCUCAUGGCAGCCUGGCUGCUUUGGACACUUUACAGUCGCCCUGAAGACACUCCAGCAGCCUCAGAGGACCACUACAAACACAGCUGAGGACAGUCUGCUCCAGCCUUGGAAAGCAGCCUUCUGAACUCUAACCAACCCCGCAGCCAUAUUCUCAGGAUGGAGGGCUUUUCCCGGUGGCCCAGGAGAAGGCCUGUGACAGGUGCAAAUAGUCCUUCAUUUGUGUGUUUUGGGGGAGGGUGGGCUAGAAUUAGUGCAAACAUGUUUGCCAUACCCCUUUGCUGGCUGUUCAGCUUGAUUCUCUAGUCAGCUGGGGCGGCCCCUUUAUGCUGCAACAUCAGGCCCAAGCAAAUGCCUCUGAACAGUCUUCCCACGUCUACUUUCUUUGACUUCAUUGGUUGAGGAGGGGCAGUAGCAGUGGCCAAGGCUGUGGCAGCCGAAGGACAACAGCCGAGGAACAGAGAGCAGGUGAGAGAGGGUGGGAACUGUGGGCGGAGGCUGACGGGAAGUUUCAGGGAGCCGCCAAAGCUUAAGGGCCUAGGGUUUCAGACACCCUAGGCAUGAGGGCUGGAAUGCUGUCACUGUAGGGCGGGAGUACCCCAAGUGCUCUGUGGGUUCUAACACUGGAAGGCAUUUGCAGCUGCUCUGGCUGCUGCUGCUGCUGCUACUGGAAGCGGAGGACUACAGCGCCCGCCAAGUGCUGGGACUCCAAGCCAUUAAGCCCACCGCAGAAAUAAAAUGUCCAGACCCACAACACGGCUGUCAACAUGAAUUCCCAUCAACAAAGGCUAUCCAUCAACGUGACUCAAGUCUCCUGUCCUGGGCCAUUAUUUCAGCAUUGGAAAUUGCACCCUAAUGUCACACACGCUGGCCCAGUCACAACUUUAUUCACGGGAAAGAAAAAUGAAGAUUUGUGGAAAAAUUUUACAUUUAUAGGAUGGAUAACUAAUGGCUGUAUCUUUUUCAUAACAGGAGAACUAGGUAGCUGACCUGAAUCCCACUGCUCAGGCCUGCAUGCUUAAGCCCUAGCUCCAUCCCUGUAGCCUGGAGUUUAUCUGGUAGAUGCUCCAAAAACGUGGGAAUGAAUUCAAUUGUGAUAUGUUUCGUUCUUAGAUGUAUUGUAAAAACACCACGUCCACAUCUUCCUUAACCCAGAAUAAUGGAUAUUAUGUCACCACAGCAGUUAUUAAAAUAUUAAAAUACGGGAAUAUUAAAAACAAAGGCUGGUGUGAGGUGAGGCUAUAGUUACAUAUCAAAUUCUACUAUUUCUUCUUGGUAACUUGUUCAGCACCCACUCCCAGGUUUCAGCACCUUCCUGCUCGGUUCUUUCCUCUGGCAGCUGAUUAGACACAGCAGUACCCCGGGUCAGCUGUGGAGACAUCUCUAGAGAGCGGAGGAAGCAACAACCUAGGCGGAACCUCCCCCUGAAUGGCCAGGUGUCACGAGUCUAACUUCACAUAAGGAAGAGGUAGCUGUUUAGGGCGAGGCAUCUUUGAGUCUCUCUGUUACAAUGCCUGGACUUGUCCUGACUACCCGAGGAUGUAUUUCUCCUCAGCAUAACUCAUAUGACGGUGGUUUCCUUGGGAAGCUGCUUCCGUGCUGACAACUGAGACAAUAAAAAAUAUUACUUCAA